GACAACUGCCCAUCUACGUCAAAACCGGUCUUCGGAAAGGGAGCAGCGAUUGAGGAUGGCAGGCUGCAGCGUGGGGAUCAGAUCAUGCCGUGAACGGUCACAGUCUGGAGGGGGUCCCACCCCCGGCGCCGUCGCCAUACUGAAGAGGACCAAGGGAACUGUAGUCCUCACCGUACUCUCCUGAGUGUAGUCCUCGCACAACCGUCUGUCGCCCUUUGAUGAUGUCAUCAGCAGACUAUAUCAGGGUUGUGUUCGUCAGGAAACAGAGAAACAGGGAGGACUGUCUGAACUUUUUUCAAUAAGAAACAUUAAUUUAUGUGUUCUGUUGCAAAACGUUUUGCCUACGAUGUGCGCUAAUGAAUACGACCAUGUUUAUCUCUAGAAUGAGGUGAGGAGUCUCACAGAAAGAAUGUCUUCUAUAUGUCUUCUAGAUGUAACUGGUUCUCAUUGUAACAAAACGAUGAACCCUGUAAUGCCUUUCUAUGUGUCUAUGUACAUCAACACGGACUCAUCAUAGCAGACUACUGACAUCACUGUCUCCUUCUAACGGACCUCAUCAUAGCAGACUACUGACAUCACUGUCUCCUUCUAAACGGACCUCAUCAUAGCAGACUACUGACAUCACUGUCUCCUUCUAAACGGACCUCAUCAUAGCAGACUACUGACAUCAC